rnacentral:rRNA from 1 species
GCAUUAGUGUUAAGGUAGCAUAGUAAUUAGUUUUUUAAUUGGAAAAUGGAAUGAAUGGCUCCACUAAAGCAUAGUAUUUAUACUAAAAAAUGAAAUUUUAAUUUAAGUGAAAAUACUUAAAUGCUAUAUUUAGACGAGAAGACCCUAUGAAGCUGGUAGACCAUAAGUGUAAUUAUUUCAUAGUAGCAGGUCUAUUUUUUGGGGUAAAAUUUAAUAAUUAUAUUAAUACAGAUUUGUUCAAACUUAUCCUUCUGGAAUUAUGAAUAAGCUCCUCUAGGGAUAACAGCAUUAUGCUUAAAAGAGUUCUUAUCAGAAUAAGCGUUUGUGACCUCNAUGUUGAAUA